rnacentral:rRNA from 1 species
GAUGAACGCUGGUUUGCGUGCCUAAUACAUGCAAGUCGAGCGAACGGACGAGAAGCUUGCUUCUCUGAUGUUAGCGGCGGACGGGUGAGUAACACGUGGAUAACCUACCUAUAAGACUGGGAUAACUUCGGGAAACCGGAGCUAAUACCGGAUAAUAUUUUGAACCGCAUGGUUCAAAAGUGAAAGACGGUCUUGCUGUCACUUAUAGAUGGAUCCGCGCUGCAUUAGCUAGUUGGUAAGGUAACGGCUUACCAAGGCAACGAUGCAUAGCCGACCUGAGAGGGUGAUCGGCCACACUGGAACUGAGACACGGUCCAGACUCCUACGGGAGGCAGCAGUAGGGAAUCUUCCGCAAUGGGCGAAAGCCUGACGGAGCAACGCCGCGUGAGUGAUGAAGGUCUUCGGAUCGUAAAACUCUGUUAUUAGGGAAGAACAUAUGUGUAAGUAACUGUGCACAUCUUGACGGUACCUAAUCAGAAAGCCACGGCUAACUACGUGCCAGCAGCCGCGGUAAUACGUAGGUGGCAAGCGUUAUCCGGAAUUAUUGGGCGUAAAGCGCGCGUAGGCGGUUUUUUAAGUCUGAUGUGAAAGCCCACGGCUCAACCGUGGAGGGUCAUUGGAAACUGGAAAACUUGAGUGCAGAAGAGGAAAGUGGAAUUCCAUGUGUAGCGGCGAAAUGCGCAGAGAUAUGGAGGAACACCAGUGGCGAAGGCGACUUUCUGGUCUGUAACUGACGCUGAUGUGCGAAAGCGUGGGGAUCAAACAGGAUUAGAUACCCUGGUAGUCCACGCCGUAAACGAUGAGUGCUAAGUGUUAGGGGGUUUCCGCCCCUUAGUGCUGCAGCUAACGCAUUAAGCACCCCGCCUGGGGAGUACGACCGCAAGGUUGAAACUCAAAGGAAUUGACGGGGACCCGCACAAGCGGUGGAGCAUGUGGUUUAAUUCGAAGCAACGCGAAGAACCUUACCAAAUCUUGACAUCCUUUGACAACUCUAGAGAUAGAGCCUUCCCCUUCGGGGGACAAAGUGACAGGUGGUGCAUGGUUGUCGUCAGCUCGUGUCGUGAGAUGUUGGGUUAAGUCCCGCAACGAGCGCAACCCUUAAGCUUAGUUGCCAUCAUUAAGUUGGGCACUCUAAGUUGACUGCCGGUGACAAACCGGAGGAAGGUGGGGAUGACGUCAAAUCAUCAUGCCCCUUAUGAUUUGGGCUACACACGUGCUACAAUGGACAAUACAAAGGGCAGCGAAACCGCGAGGUCAAGCAAAUCCCAUAAAGUUGUUCUCAGUUCGGAUUGUAGUCUGCAACUCGACUACAUGAAGCUGGAAUCGCUAGUAAUCGUAGAUCAGCAUGCUACGGUGAAUACGUUCCCGGGUCU